rnacentral:rRNA from 1 species
UACGGAGGGGGCUAGCGUUGUUCGGAAUUACUGGGCGUAAAGCGCACGUAGGCGGAUUAUUAAGUCGGGGGUGAAAUCCCGGGGCUCAACCCCGGAACUGCCUUCGAUACUGGUAGUCUUGAGGUCGAGAGAGGUGAGUGGAAUUCCGAGUGUAGAGGUGAAAUUCGUAGAUAUUCGGAGGAACACCAGUGGCGAAGGCGGCUCACUGGCUCGAUACUGACGCUGAGGUGCGAAAGCGUGGGGAGCAAACAGG